rnacentral:miRNA from 1 species
UGGUGUACAGAUUAAAAAGG